CCAGACAGCCAGGAUGUUGGCUUAGAAGCAGCCAUCAUUUAAAGAAAGCGUAAUAGCUCACUGGUCGAGUCGGCCUGCGCGGAAGAUGUAACGGGGCUAAACCAUGCACCGAAGCUGCGGCAGCGACACUAUGUGUUGUUGGGUAGGGGAGCGUUCUGUAAGCCUGUGAAGGUGGCCUGUGAGGGUUGCUGGAGGUAUCAGAAGUGCGAAUGCUGACAUAAGUAACGAUAAAGCGGGUGAAAAGCCCGCUCGCCGGAAGACCAAGGGUUCCUGUCCAACGUUAAUCGGGGCAGGGUGAGUCGACCCCUAAGGCGAGGCCGAAAGGCGUAGUCGAUGGGAAACAGGUUAAUAUUCCUGUACUUGGUGUUACUGCGAAGGGGGGACGGAGAAGGCUAUGUUGGCCGGGCGACGGUUGUCCCGGUUUAAGCGUGUAGGCUGGUUUUCCAGGCAAAUCCGGAAAACCAAGGCUGAGGCGUGAUGACGAGGCACUACGGUGCUGAAGCGACAAAUGCCCUGCUUCCAGGAAAAGCCUCUAAGCAUCAGGUAACAUCAAAUCGUACCCCAAACCGACACAGGUGGUCAGGUAGAGAAUACCAAGGCGCUUGAGAGAACUCGGGUGAAGGAACUAGGCAAAAUGGUGCCGUAACUUCGGGAGAAGGCACGCUGAUAUGUAGGUGAAGCGACUUGCUCGUGGAGCUGAAAUCAGUCGAAGAUACCAGCUGGCUGCAACUGUUUAUUAAAAACACAGCACUGUGCAAACACGAAAGUGGACGUAUACGGUGUGACGCCUGCCCGGUGCCGGAAGGUUAAUUGAUGGGGUUAGCGGUAACGCGAAGCUCUUGAUCGAAGCCCCGGUAAACGGCGGCCGUAACUAUAACGGUCCUAAGGUAGCGAAAUUCCUUGUCGGGUAAGUUCCGACCUGCACGAAUGGCGUAAUGAUGGCCAGGCUGUCUCCACCCGAGACUCAGUGAAAUUGAACUCGCUGUGAAGAUGCAGUGUACCCGCGGCAAGACGGAAAGACCCCGUGAACCUUUACUAUAGCUUGACACUGAACAUUGAGCCUUGAUGUGUAGGAUAGGUGGGAGGCUUUGAAGUGUGGACGCCAGUCUGCAUGGAGCCGACCUUGAAAUACCACCCUUUAAUGUUUGAUGUUCUAACGUUGGCCCGUAAUCCGGGUUGCGGACAGUGUCUGGUGGGUAGUUUGACUGGGGCGGUCUCCUCCUAAAGAGUAACGGAGGAGCACGAAGGUUGGCUAAUCCUGGUCGGACAUCAGGAGGUUAGUGCAAUGGCAUAAGCCAGCUUGACUGCGAGCGUGACGGCGCGAGCAGGUGCGAAAGCAGGUCAUAGUGAUCCGGUGGUUCUGAAUGGAAGGGCCAUCGCUCAACGGAUAAAAGGUACUCCGGGGAUAACAGGCUGAUACCGCCCAAGAGUUCAUAUCGACGGCGGUGUUUGGCACCUCGAUGUCGGCUCAUCACAUCCUGGGGCUGAAGUAGGUCCCAAGGGUAUGGCUGUUCGCCAUUUAAAGUGGUACGCGAGCUGGGUUUAGAACGUCGUGAGACAGUUCGGUCCCUAUCUGCCGUGGGCGCUGGAGAACUGAGGGGGGCUGCUCCUAGUACGAGAGGACCGGAGUGGACGCAUCACUGGUGUUCGGGUUGUCAUGCCAAUGGCACUGCCCGGUAGCUAAAUGCGGAAGAGAUAAGUGCUGAAAGCAUCUAAGCACGAAACUUGCCCCGAGAUGAGUUCUCCCUGAGACUUAGAGUCUCCUGAAGGAACGUUGAAGACGACGACGUUGAUAGGCCGGGUGUGUAAGCGCAGCGAUGCGUUGAGCUAACCGGUACUAAUGAACCGUGAGGCUUAACCUU
rnacentral:rRNA from 1 species